CAAGAGCCGUCAGAGAGUAGAGAAGGAGAAACAGGCAACACCGUCAAUCGAUCAGACGACUAGGCACCUAAACCUGUACGGUACAAGGACCUAUGGUAGUUCCACUCGAGCAGCCAAACAAAGAUUCUGAAGAGUAUGAAUUGGUUUACGUAGAAGACCCUGAGGAUGGCUUGUAUUAGUUUUAGAUGAAUAGAAGUUGGCAGGCU